rnacentral:rRNA from 1 species
GACGAACGCUGGCGGCGUGCUUAACACAUGCAAGUCGAGCGGUAAGGCCCUUUCGGGGUACACGAGCGGCGAACGGGUGAGUAACACGUGGGUGACCUGCCCUCAGCUCUGGGAUAAGCCUGGGAAACUGGGUCUAAUACUGGAUAUGACUCCACGGUGCAUGUCGUGGGGUGGAAAGCCUUGUGCGGCUGAGGAUGGGCCCGCGGCCUAUCAGCUUGUUGGUGGGGUGAUGGCCUACCAAGGCGACGACGGGUAGCCGGCCUGAGAGGGCGACC